UGCCACGGGCGUGUGGAGGUGAUGCUACCGACGGAGCUGGUGAUGGGGAUGAUGCUGUGGGUGGUGGUGGAGAUGAUGACACGGGCGCUGGAGGUGAUGCUACCGACGGAGCUGGUGAUGGGGAUGAUACUGUGGGUGGUGGUGGUGAGUAUACAGGGGAUGAAGGAGAGUGUACUGGUGGUGAUGAUUGAGAUGACGCUAUGGGUGGUGGUGGUGGUGAAUUGAUUGAAGGUGGUGGUUGAGAUGAUGAUCCAGACGGUGGGGGUGGUGGUGAGUUGACUGUAGGAGGUGGAGAAGAAACCGGUGGUGGUGGUAUUACUACUUGUGGAGGUGGAGAUCGGAGCUCUGGUUGGGAUGGCGACGGAGCAAGAGGCGGGGAGGCGAAUGACUGAGGCGGUGGUGUGCUUACAGGUGGUGGUGGAGGAGAAUGCACUCGUGUCACGGGUGACUCGGAAUGCGGAGGUGGUGGUGGUCGUGAUGUUUGGGAUGACGCUACGGGUGGUGGUGGUGGUGAAUUGAUUGAAGGUGGGGGUUGAGAUGAUGAUCCAGAUGGUGGGGGUGGUGAGUACGGUGGAGGUUGUGAUGAAUGAACUGGAGGUGGUGGUGAGUUGACUGGAGGAGGUGGAGAAUAGACCGGUGGAGGUGGUGAUACUACUGGUGGAGGUGGAGAGCGGAGCUCUGGUUGGGAUGGCGACUGAGCAAGAGGCGGAGAGGCGAAUGCCUGUUGCGGUGGUGUGCUUACAGGUGGAGGAGGAGAAUGCACUCGUGUCACGGGUGACUCGGAAUGCGGAGCUGGUGGCGGUGAGUGCACCGGUGUCACUGGCGACUCGGAAUGCUGAGGUGGCGGCGGUGACUUCGCCGGUGCCCUGGGCGUUGGAGGCUUCGGUGAUGAUUUUGGAGGGGUUGCUGCCACCGGCGCAGGCGAUGGCUCCUGAGGUGGCGGUGUCACCGGGUUAGGUGAUGCCUUCGGAGAUGUUGGCGUCGCCGGCUUUGUUGAAGGUUUCGGAGACGGCGUAGCCGGCUUAGGUGAAGACUUCGGAGAUGUCGGUGUGGCCGAAGAGGGAGUGGAAGAGCUCGGAGAAGACCUACAUUUAUCUUUGCUGCAGUCCACAGGGCGACUCAACACCCGAUAACAGGUCUUCGCCGACUUCUGCCCGGGCCGCUUCUCAAGGCAAUUGCCCUUGUCGUCGAAAGCGACAUCAGACCCGGCCGAGGGCACGCACUCGGCGGCUUCGCCCUUGAAGUAGUUGAAGGAGAACGUGAAGUUGGUGAGGCUCGGCAAGCGACAGAGCUUCUCCGGUACCACUCCUGUGAGGACGUUGUGCGACAAGUCCAGGUCCUCCACCUUGCUCAACGCCGCAAAGCUCGUCGGGAGAUCGCCGGUGAGCGAGUUCCAGCUCGCAUCCAACACCGUCGCGUUGCCCAACUCCCCCACCUCGGACGGCAAGCAACCGACGAGCCCGUUGUUCAACAGUACGAGUUCGUUCAGGGUGGCUCCCAUCCUUCCGGUGCUACCGGGAAUGCAGCCGCCGAGCUUGUUGUUGGCCAGAACCACCACCGACGCCGUGGAGUUGCCGAAGUUGUCGGGGAUGGGAGAGCUGAAACGGUUGUCGUUGAGGAAGAUGGCGUCGAGGCCCUUGUCGAAGAGCUCCGGCGGGAGGGCGCCCUCGAAGUCGUUGAACCGGAGGUCGAGGUACCUUAAAGAUGGUAGGCCGACGACGACCAUCGGAAACGGCCCGACGAAGCGGUUGUUGCUGACGUCGAGCUCGUGGAGGAGCACGAGCCGGGAGAAGCUCUUGGGGAUGAUGCCGCAGAAGCGGUUGGAAUUGAUAUGGAAGAGCGCGACCUCGGUAAGGAGGCCGAGCUCGACGGGAAGGUAGCCAGCGAUGUCGGCGCCGUUCAGGUCGACGCCGGCGACGACGGUGAGCUUCGGGUCGUCGAGUGCCGGGGCGCAAAACACGCCACGGUAGCCGCACACGUCGGCGCCGACCCAGUUGCCAGUGAAGUUGGAGGGGUCGGAGUAUAAGGCGUGCCGCCAGGCCUGGAGGCCGAUGUAGGCGCGGCGGAGGCGGGCGUUGGGGAAGCUGAGGUCGACCUUGACGUCGAACUCGUAAUCGUCGGGGAGGUCGCCGUUCUUGGACAAUGCCAGGAGCUGGCGGCGGGCGAUCAGGGCAGCUUCGACGCUUGAGAGAGCUAACGCGGACGACAAGGAGGAGGAGAAGAGAAGGAAGAGGAGGAGGAGAGAGCGGAGGCAGGCCUCCAUGGUGGGCAGAUGGUGUGGCUUCCCCGCCCUGGAAAGCCCAAGGCUGCUAUAAGGGGGAGUGGGAGGUAAGAGGAGGAAGAAGGGGUUGUUAUAGCUGUUGAAGCAGCGGUACGUGAACGGUUAGGCUCCUUUGUUGGAGUUAGUUUGCCUCCUUUAGGUUCGUUUUGGGCGGAGGAAUUGACGGUUGGCGUGGGAUGGUGACCGUUAACCCGCGAAAAAGGAGGGAAAGGUUGUAAUCCCGCGUCUGUGGCUCCCAUUGCCUAAUUUUUUAGAUUUUUUAAUAUAAUUUAUGAUAAAUAAUAAAAAUAGAAUAUUUUAAUAGUUUUAAAGUUCAAAUUAUAUUUUAUUAUGUUGAUAUUCUUCAUUUUUAUCAUUUGAACUCAUGAAAAAUUGAGAGUUCAAAACCUCGUUUCAUAUAAUUAAAUAUCUUCAUAUUUAAUUAAGAAUCUAAUAUUUCAUUCGAUAUAUUUAAAUAUCUUAAAUAUUGAUGUGAAAGUUGAAGGUGCAAAAUAAUUUUCAACUUUAUUCGAUAUAAUUAAAUAUACUUACACAUCUUAUGCCCACCCAAUAAAAUUAUAAAAGACACAUCUUUACCUAAUCAUUGCUCCUCCUGAUAAUUAAGUCCCUCACCCAAACUCAAUUUGUAUGCAUUGAAUUUUUUACAUUAGUUUCAUAUUUAAAACAUUGAUUGAUAUAACUAUUGGUGAAUCUUUACAUUGUGAUCGAGGAGUCAGCAUGGCUUGGUCCAAUCUCGGAUAUGUAAUAUUGCCCAAGCGGAGAAUCGAGUGGAAGAAAUAAACGUCAAGUCGGGUUGGGCUGCGAGCCUCACUACUUACUUCUCUAUCGUAAGCCUUUACACUCAGGACAAGAUCGGGAGGAGGAUUUCCCGACUCAAUCCCUCCGAAGUUUAAAUUAGAAUGGAGUGGAAUGAUAGGGAGUUCAAUAUUCCUUGGCCCUCUCAUUGGUUAGAGGGUUGGCUUUUAUAUAUGCUCUGGGGUGGUCGAUCGUACGCGAUCCUUUAAUGGUCAUCGACUCCUCGGAAGGAUGACUUGUACUCUAUAGACGUGUGUCGACCGACCCAUACUGGUCGAUGCCGUCCCGAGUUUUGCGAAACGACUCUAAGGUGUCUAGCAUCACACGGGUUAGCGUUGUACGAUGUCGUCUCGAGUUUUGUGGAGCAGCUCUGGGUUGUCCGGCACUAAGCGCCGACCGACCCGUAUUGCUUGGCACUAAGGGGUGUCGUGUAGCACCGUCCCGAGCUUUGCGAAACUGCUCUAGGGUGUCCGACGUCGUAUGGGUUGCCACACGCAAUGUCGUUCGGGUUGGCACCGUCCUGAGUUUCACGGAACGACUAUAGGGUGUCCGACACCGACCUAUACGAUGUCAAACAAUGCGAAGGUCGCGUGAUUGUCUCACUCCACGUCAAUCCGGAGGUUCUCUGUUUGCUACCACGUGGGUGAUGCCUAAAUGUAUCGUAUCCCUGAUGAUAUAUAGGAAAUCCAAAUAUAUGAUACAACAAAAAAUAUAAAUAUUUAUCAUAUAAAAUAUAUUUAUAUUUAUAUUGUUAAUAAUAAAAUAAAAAAUAUUAGCCAGCAUGAACUCAUCAGGUAAGAAAACAUUAAUCUGGCACUACCAAUCUAAAAAGCACAAAGUACAAAUCUAAAAUACACAUUAUUACACCAAACUAUCGCCUAAGAACAAACUCUCUCUCUCUCUCUCUCUGAUACAAACUACUUACAGAACACAGCAUUAAUCUGGCACUACCAACUUUCCCAUGUACAUAUCUAAAAAGCUCAUUAUUACACCAAACUAUCGCCUAAGAACAAAGAUUAUCCCCUCCUCUCU
rnacentral:lncRNA from 1 species